AAAAAUAUGGUUUCCAACAUGAGGUUCAGUAAAAUAAUGAUAUUUAGCAAGUAUUGCGGAAAAGUGAAUAGUAAUUGAAACGGCACGGAUGUCUAAAAGGCGUGACAUCAGCAAUGCUGACGCCACUACCGUCAUGAUUAGGGUGUUGCUUAGGGUUGGCGAAGAAAUAAACAAACCUAUACCUGUAGAAGGUCAUUUCUCUUUUCAAGAAGCCUGUUCUCGGCGGUUCGCAUUCGCUUGUCCUAGUCCUCUGCUGCUGGGUCAUAGUGUCCCCCUGUUUUACUGGGCAGAGGCCGAAAUUCUCUUCCCGAAAGGAAUGGGCAAGGUUUAUUUACUGGUUACCAGGUUGCAUCUCGCGAUGCCCUCGUGGUUCCGUGAAGAGGGAAACGAUCCUCGGGACAAAGGCCAAUACUAAUAAAUUACAAUGUGUAAGAAUACAGUAGUAUUCUUUGUAAUUAAUAUUUUGCAGAAAAUCUGUCAACGGAUCUCUAACUCGCAACACGUAAUACGAGAAAGUUUGAAGUAAAGCUGCCAGCAAAUAAAUUACAAAAUUUACUUUUGACAAAUUAAAGCCAGUGAUAUUUAGUUUACGAUUGCGCAUUGUAUUUUAAAUAGUUCGCGCACUCAUCAAGUAUACGUAUUUAACGUAAUUUAGUUAAUAAUUCUAUUAUUUUUUGUCUCUAUUCAAAAUUUGAUUCUCAAUUCGUAUUUGUAAAGCUCACUAUUACUCACUAAGUUGUUUCAAGAGGUAACACUGAGCACUGAGCUCCAGAGUUAUCGACAAAUUGUUGAUCAAUAAAUAGAUAAAGUUUAUCAAGUGUUAAUUUGUAUUGUAUAUCUGGUGAGAAGUUACUGUGACUUAAGGAUCAUGGGAUUUUUCACUGCCCUAAUAGUUAACAUCGUAGGCGGAGCCGUUCUUUGCAUGGGAGGGUUUUUGAUCCCAAUCGUGGCACCUCUGCUCGGCUUCAGCGCAUCGGGAAUAAUGGCGGGAAGCAUUGCAGCUUCAGCCCAGUCGUAUUACGGGAAUUUAAUGGCCGGAAGCAUUAUAUCAAAGUUGACUGCCGCCGCCAUGAUAGCACCAACUCCGUAAGACAUUACAUAAGUUUGUCAAAAACAGAUAACUGCUGCUCGUCAAUACAUUCUGGAUUUAAAAUGUCUUAAAUUCCGAAAUAAAUAUGAUGAGAUGGGA